rnacentral:rRNA from 1 species
AGCGAACGCUGGCGGCAGGCCUAACACAUGCAAGUCGAACGGAUCCUUCGGGAUUAGUGGCGGACGGGUGAGUAACACGUGGGAACGUGCCCUUUGGUUCGGAACAACUCAGGGAAACUUGAGCCAAUACCGGAUGUGCCCUUCGGGGGAAAGAUUUAUCGCCAUUGGAGCGGCCCGCGUCUGAUUAGCUAGUUGGUGAGGUAAAGGCUCACCAAGGCGACGAUCAGUAGCUGGUCUGAGAGGAUGAUCAGCCACAUUGGGACUGAGACACGGCCCAAACUCCUACGGGAGGCAGCAGUGGGGAAUCUUGCGCAAUGGGCGAAAGCCUGACGCAGCCAUGCCGCGUGAAUGAUGAAGGUCUUAGGAUUGUAAAAUUCUUUCACCGGGGACGAUAAUGACGGUACCCGGAGAAGAGGCCCCGGCUAACUUCGUACCAGCCGCCGCAGUAA